AUUGAACGCUGGCGGCAGGCCUAACACAUGCAAGUCGAGCGAGCGGCGGAUGGGUGAGUAAUGUCUGGGAAACCGCGUGAUGGAGGGGGAAAACUACUGGAAACGGUAGCUAAUACCACAUCACAUCAGAUAUGCCUAGAUGGGAUUAUAUGGUAGGUGGGGUAAUGGCUCACCUAGGAGACGAUCCCUAGCUGGUCUGAGAGGAUGACCCGCCACACGGGAACUGAGACACGGCCCAGACUCCUACGGGAGGCAGCAGUGGGGAAUAUUGCACAAUGGGCGCAAGCCUGAUGCAGCCAUGCCGCGUGUGUGAAGAAGGCCUUCGGGUUGUAAAGCACUUUCAGCGAGGAGGCGUUACUCACAGAAGAAGCACCGGCUAACUCCGUGCCAGCAGCCGCGGUAAUAC
rnacentral:rRNA from 1 species